rnacentral:rRNA from 1 species
GAGUUUGAUCAUGGCUCAGAACGUACGCUGGCGGCACGCCUAACACAUGCAAGUCGAACGAAGUAGCAAUACUUAGUGGCAGACGGGUGAGUAACAUGUAGGUAUCUGCCCUUUGGCCUGGAAUAACACGAGGAAACUUGUGCUAAUACCGGAUAAGUCUUUACGGAGAAAGCUUUAUGCACCAUUGGAUGAGCCUGCACUUGAUUAGUUUGUUGGUGGGGUAAUGGCCUACCAAGACUGUGAUCAGUAGCUGAUUUGAGAGGAUGAUCAGCCACAUUGGGACUGAGACACGGCCCAAACUCCUACGGGAGGCAGCAGUGGGGAAUCUUGCACAAUGGAGGAAACUCUGAUGCAGCGAUGCCGCGUGAGUGAAGAAGGCCCUUGGGUUGUAAAGCUCCUUCGUCGGGGAAGAAAAUGACUGUACCCGAAUAAGAAGGUCCGGCUAACUUCGUGCCAGCAGCCGCGGUAAUACGAAGGGACCUAGCGUAGUUCGGAAUUACUGGGCUUAAAGAGUUCGUAGGUGGUUGAAAAAGUUAGUGGUGAAAUCCCAGAGCUUAACUCUGGAACUGCCAUUAAAACUUUUCAGCUAGAGUAUGAUAGAGGAAAGCAGAAUUUCUAGUGUAGAGGUGAAAUUCGUAGAUAUUAGAAGAAUACCAAUUGCGAAGGCAGCUUUCUGGAUCAUUACUGACACUGAGGAACGAAAGCAUGGGUAGCGAAGAGGAUUAGAUACCCUCGUAGUCCAUGCCGUAAACGAUGUGUGUUAGACGUUGGAAAUUUAUUUUCAGUGUCGCAGGAAACCGAUAAACACACCGCCUGGGGAGUACGACCGCAAGGUUAAAACUCAAUG